AUUUAUGAUGUGGACAAUCUCUGAGAAGAGACCUGAAUCUCUCCCAUGCAUAUUAGAGAUUCUCAUCAGGCUUUUGCUUGAAAUUCAGGAUCUCACUCCCCAACCU
rfam:Capsicum annuum cultivar Zunla-1 unplaced genomic scaffold scaffold937, whole genome shotgun sequence